UCCAGGAGGGGGGCUACAAGGAUGUGGGGAACUUGGAGCUGAGGAUGAAGAGUUGAAAAGACUUGGUGGUGGACUUCUUGUUUAUACAGGGAUGGGAGUGUAGAAUGACUUUACGACUCAGCAGGAAUCUCAAUCACUUACAAGCACUGGAACUGGCUUAUGUGAGGGGGGGAGACUGAAGUGUCUGGAGCUGGGAGAUCCUGUGAUGGUGUCACAGGGAGUCUUGCUUCUGUAAGGACUGAGCAGGAGUGGUGUGAACACCUCAGAAUAUGGUUCCUUUAGAACCCUGGUGUUUCAGAACUGAAAACAAGGGGAUAAAUCUGCUCUCAGGACACCAUACAUCUGCAGCACACCAGUAACUGCAAACACCGAGAAAUGAUCUGACUGGCUGACCUCACUCAGGGUGAUAGACUGUACGCUGCUGUAUCAUUCACACUGAAGUGUGUCUUUAGAUCACUACAGCCAAUGACUUCUGUCUUCUUUAAGACCAGGCAUUUGCAUCUUAAGUCACUUGAUUUGGGACAAUGUCCCUAAUGCAUGAAGGAUCCCAAAGAGUAAAUGCGUUGGCGUA